UUGCUGUCAACGUAGGUGUUGUCAUCAGCUGUUGAAAAUGUGAAAUAUUCAUGUUGGUUUUACUAGUUCUGCGGUGUGUGUGCAAUUCCACAUCUGAGCACUGUAAGGUCUGGCAGCAAAAUAAAGAUGUAUUCAAAUGGAUCUUGUGCUGUGUCUCACAUCUGACAUCAUACUAGAAAAGGGUCAUGUAAACGUAACAAAAAGUCAUGCGAAUGGACAUCAAAUGUUGACACAUAUCGGUAUUUGAGACUUAAAUAUUCAGGAUAUAACUUCAUAAAACUGGCGGAUUAAACCAAAAUGCGAAGGUGCUUUCGAAUGGCAAGUAAAACAGUUGUGUCUCUUCGUAGGAACGAUGAUACAAUAUUUACGUAUGCAUUCAAAUGAUGCUGUUCAAGGUAACAAUCAAAUGAUGCUGUUCAAGGUAACAAGAAGAAGUUAACAUUUGGCAGUGUGAGAAAGGCAAUUUACUGCAUGACGGGAAAUGAUAUUUGCAUGCAUAUUUUAUCGGAGGCAGCUGCAAAACCACCAACAGGAAACUCUUUUUGAUAUUAUGUUGUGAUAGACUAUUUGACUGUUUUCGGCCCGCUUUGGCGAGACGGUAUUACGAUAGUUUUAUAUGAAAAUCUGCGAUAAAGUCCGGAAAUCUCGCUUGUGGAGAGAAGAAACUCGAUUAUGAUGUUCCCGCUAAGGAAAAAAAAAUCUUGCGUCGAACCAGAAGCUGUGUGAAUACAUCCCCGAGAAGAAAGUCACUACGUCGGCCAGCUGCAGUUUUUUACCAUCAUCUGAAGAUAGUAUCUUUCAGGAAUAAAGGCUUUUGGCUGGACCAGUUACU